AGAACGAACGCUGGCGGCAGGCCUAACACAUGCAAGUCGAACGCUCGUAGCAAUACGAGAGUGGCAGACGGGUGAGUAACGCGUGGGAACCUUCCCUAUGGUUCGGAAUAGCUCAGGGAAACUUGAGGUAAUACCGGAUAAGCCCUUACGGGGAAAGAUUUAUCGCCAUUGGAUGGGCCCGCGUCGGAUUAGCUAGUUGGUGAGGUAACGGCUCACCAAGGCGACGAUCCGUAGCUGGUCUGAGAGGAUGAUCAGCCACACUGGGACUGAGACACGGCCCAGACUCCUACGGGAGGCAGCAGUGGGGAAUAUUGGACAAUGGGCGCAAGCCUGAUCCAGCCAUGCCGCGUGAGUGACGAAGGCCUUAGGGUUGUAAAGCUCUUUGGCGGGGAAGAUAAUGACGGUACCGCAGAAUAAGCUCCGGCUAACUUCGCGCCAGCAGCCGC
rnacentral:rRNA from 1 species